rnacentral:rRNA from 1 species
AUUGAACGCUGGCGGCAUGCCUUACACAUGCAAGUCGAACGGCAGCGGACCUUCGGGUGCCGGCGAGUGGCGAACGGGUGAGUAAUAUAUCGGAACGUACCUUUCAGUGGGGGAUAACGUAGCGAAAGUUACGCUAAUACCGCAUAUUCUGUGAGCAGGAAAGCAGGGGAUCGCAAGACCUUGCGCUGAUUGAGCGGCCGGUAUCAGAUUAGCUAGUUGGUGAGGUAAAGGCUCACCAAGGCGACGAUCUGUAGCGGGUCUGAGAGGAUGAUCCGCCACACUGGAACUGAGACACGGUCCAGACUCCUACGGGAGGCAGCAGUGGGGAAUUUUGGACAAUGGGCGCAAGCCUGAUCCAGCCAUGCCGCGUGAGUGAAGAA